rnacentral:lncRNA from 1 species
GGCAGUCAGUCGAUCAACAGAUGCUUUCCGAGCGCCUCUAGGGUGCGGUGGAACGCGGCAAUCUGGAAGGACGCUUCAGAACCGGUUGGACCCCCUGUUGGCCAAGCCCAACCAGAAGCCAGAGGGCACUGGAGCCUGAUGCUGCCCAUGAAAAUCAGCCUUCUGGGCCCAGAGCAAGGCAGGGAAGGGUGGAGAGACGGUCUGAAGGGAGCAAAUGGAGGCUAUCUGGAGCAUUCCCGUAGCACCUGGCACUGAUCUGAGCAAAAGUAUGAAACCACUGUUUGUUGC